rnacentral:lncRNA from 1 species
GGUUAAAUAGCUUUGAGAUGCUUUAUUGCUGCUCACUGGUAUUCUGUUUUACUUAUGUAGUAACACCAGCCAAUUUUAGUGCCAGAAGAAGUAAGUCAUGGAAGGUUUCUCCCCUGAAAGCAGAUGUCUGAUGAAUAAAACAGAGUCUGGAAAUGACAGAGCUGAUACUGACAAGGAAUGCAAUGGCAAUAACUCGGAAAGAACAGAAAGCACAAAGCAAGAGAUGUUUCUUCCGCAAUUCCCUGUUCUACAGGCUUCUGAGUGUGAACACGUUAGACUACCUGGGAAUCAAAUGAAUGGCAGCUACCAGUGUCUCCGUAAAUUCCGCAGGGCAGUUUUGGUCAUCCAGGUCAUUCGCAAUCUCAUUAAAAUGUACAGGGACUAUGCAGAAUCUAGAGCUGAACUGUUAUCCUUUUCUCGGCUACAGUUCACUGGAUCCAGGACAGAGACUGAAAACCUCCUUUUUGACUGUUCUUAUUUUAAAGCUAAAGUAGAGGUACUGUAUGCAACCAAUGUGUAAAUAAGGGGUGGAUAAUUGGAGCUUGCAUUUGAAAGGCCUGAUCCUGCACAGACUUGUACACGGGAGUCAUUUUGCUGAUAUGAGCAGUUCCUGCUAUGCAGACAGUUCAAUAGGAACUACUCAAGUGAGUCACGUGCAGAGGUCUCUGGAGAAACAGGUCUUAAAACAAUGCAUUUAAGGGAUGCACUAAUAAAAUCAAUGAUGUUAGAAGCA